rnacentral:rRNA from 1 species
GACGAACGCUGGCGGCGUGCUUAACACAUGCAAGUCGAACGCUGAAGCUUGGUGCUUGCACUGGGUGGAUGAGUGGCGAACGGGUGAGUAAUACGUGAGUAACCUGCCCUUGACUCUGGGAUAAGCCUGGGAAACUGGGUCUAAUACUGGAUACGACAUGCCACUGCAUGGUGGUGUGUGGAAAGGGUUUUACUGGUUUUGGAUGGGCUCACGGCCUAUCAGCUUGUUGGUGGGGUAAUGGCCUACCAAGGCGACGACGGGUAGCCGGCCUGAGAGGGUGACCGGCCACACUGGGACUGAGACACGGCCCAGACUCCUACGGGAGGCAGCAGUGGGGAAUAUUGCACAAUGGGCGGAAGCCUGAUGCAGCGACGCCGCGUGAGGGAUGACGGCCUUCGGGUUGUAAACCUCUUUCAGCACGGAAGAAGCGAGAGUGACGGUACGUGCAGAAGAAGCGCCGGCCAACUACGUG